UACGAAGGGGGCUAGCGUUGUUCGGAUUUACUGGGCGUAAAGCGCACGUAGGCGGGUCGUUAAGUCGGGGAGUGAAAUCCUGGAGCUCAACUCCAGAACUGCCUUCGAUACUGAGAGUCUUGAGUCCGGGAGAGGUGAGUGGGAACUGCGAGUGUAGAGGUGAAAUUCGUAGAUAUUCGCAAGAACACCAGUGGCGAAGGCGGCUCACUGGCCCGGUACUGACGCUGAGGUGCGAAAGCGUGGGGAGCAAACAGGAUU
rnacentral:rRNA from 1 species